ACAGAAGGCUCAACAUAUGGGCUGUCCUGAGUUUAAUCGAAGGAUAGAAUUCGGCUAUAUCGGUGAAACCCUAAGACCAACGUCCGGGUAAUACCGAGGAAAGAUCCCGAGCUUGUCGAGGGAAAUCCGUAGAGACUAUACGCCGAAUCCCUCCGAAGCUUUUGAGCGAAGGGGGAAAGAUAUAGUCCGACACUCUCAGUAAUGGGAGG
rnacentral:ncRNA from 1 species